GACGAACGCUGGCGGCGUGCCUAAUACAUGCAAGUCGAGCGGACGGAUGGGAGCUUGCUCCCAGACCGUCAGCGGCGGACGGGUGAGUAACCCGUGGGCAACCUGCCUGUAAGACUGGGAUAACUCCGGGAAACCGGGGCUAAUACCGGAUAACUCUUUCCCUCACAUGAGGGAAAGCUGAAAGAUGGCAUCUCGCUAUCACUUACAGAUGGGCCCGCGGCGCAUUAGCUAGUUGGUGAGGUAACGGCUCACCAAGGCGACGAUGCGUAGCCGACCUGAGAGGGUGAUCGGCCACACUGGGACUGAGACACGGCCCAGACUCCUACGGGAGGCAGCAGUAGGGAAUCUUCCGCAAUGGACGAAAGUCUGACGGAGCAACGCCGCGUGAGCGAUGAAGGUUUUCGGAUCGUAAAACUCUGUUGUCAGGGAAGAACAAGUACCGGAGUAACUGCCGGUACCUUGACGGUACCUGACCAGAAAGCCACGGCUAACUACGUG
rnacentral:rRNA from 1 species